GACGAACGCUGGCGGCGUGCUUAACACAUGCAAGUCGAACGGAAAGGCCCUGCUUUUGUGGGGUGCUCGAGUGGCGAACGGGUGCGUAACACGUGAGUAACCUGCCCUUGUCUUUGUGAUAACUUCACGCAACUGGGGCUAAUACCGGAUAGGAGCUCCUGCUGCAUGGUGGGGGUUGGAAAGUGUCGGCGGUUGGGGAUGGACUCGCGGCUUAUCAGCUUGUUGGUGGGGUAGUUGCGUACCAAGGCUUUGACGGGUAGCCGGCCUGAGAGGGUGACCGGCCACAUUGGUACUGAGAUACGGCCCAGACUCCUACGGGAGGCAGCAGUGGGGAAUAUUGCACAAUGGGCGGAAGCCUGAUGCAGCAACGCCGCGUGCGGGAUGACGGCUUUCUGGUUGUAAACCGCUUUCGCCUGUGACGAAGCGUGAGUGACGGUAAUGAGUAAAGAAGCACCGGCUAACUACGUG
rnacentral:rRNA from 1 species